rnacentral:tRNA from 1 species
CGUAGCAUAGUUGGCCAGAGCAUUGGUGCGUAAAGCCAAAGGUUCCGGGUUCGAUUCCCGGCG